CCUACGGGUGGCUGCAGUGGGGAAUAUUGGACAAUGGGCGAAAGCCUGAUCCAGCCAUGCCGCGUGUGUGAAGAAGGCCUUCGGGUUGUAAAGCACUUUCAGUGGGGAAGAAAGCCUUGGGGCUAAUACCCUCGAGGAAGGACAUCACCCACAGAAGAAGCACCGGCUAACUCCGUGCCAGCAGCCCCGGUAAUACGGAGGGUGCGAGCGUUAAUCGGAAUUACUGGGCGUAAAGCGCGCGUAGGCGGUCUGAUAAGCCGGUUGUGAAAGCCCCGGGCUCAACCUGGGAACGGCAUCCGGAACUGUCAGGCUAGAGUGCAGGAGAGGAAGGUAGAAUUCCCGGUGUAGCGGUGAAAUGCGUAGAGAUCGGGAGGAAUACCAGUGGCGAAGGCGGCCUUCUGGACUGACACUGACGCUGAGAUGCGAAAGCGUGGGUAGCAAACAGGAUUAGAUACCCGUGUAGUC
rnacentral:rRNA from 1 species